ACCUGGCUGGCUCAGUCAGUUUGAGUAUGGGAUUCUCGAUCUUGGGGUCGUGAGUUCAAGCCCCACGCUGGGCA
rnacentral:tRNA from 1 species